AAAGAAUUUAAAAUAUUCUUCACAUUCUCUCAAGAAGUUUCACUAUAGAUAUGUUUCAUUUGUGAAACAGAAGUGAGCCUGAAAACUUAAAUUCUUAUUUUAAAUUCAGAAAAGCUUGUCAUUUUCUCUACCGGCAGCAAUGCAAUGAUCCAGAACAAUUCUGAGGGACUUCUGAGAAAGAACACUAUUCACAUUCAGAGGAAGAACUGUGGGAGUAGAAACACAGAAGAAAAACAACUGCUUGACCAUAUGGUCUUCAAAAUGUCUACACAUAACAAGGCCAAAAUUUUCUUAAUUUCUUUGAGUAUGGCCACUUUUGUGGUUAUGGUGGUGUUGAAUGGUGGAGCAGGUUCUGGAGCAUUCAAAGGUAUAUUCCAGAGAACUGUUGGAAACAUCUCCAACAAGUACAACACCGACUUGACCCCAGCUGGCUGGACCUUUUUAAUUUGGAAUGUCAUCUAUUUGUGGCAGUUAGCAUGGCUCGGAUAUGCCCUAUCUGGAAUCUGCAGAAGGAAUGAACUUGGAUGGUUCUACGUGAAACCAGAUGUCCUGCCAACUCCAUUUUACUUGGUAUGGAUCCUGAAUAAUAUCUUGAAUGUCGGAUGGCUCUUUCUGUGGGACAAUGAAUGUCUCAGCCCUGCCCUGCUUGUCCUCACAAUGCUCACAGGUUCCAAUUAUAUGAUUCUCUUCUUGGCUUGUCGAGGUCUCUAUUCCCAUAGAACUUGGCUCCAGAGUCACCACAGGAUGGACCUAUGGCUCUUCUGCAUUCUGGUGCAGAAUGGAAUUUCGCUUUAUGCUACAUGGACCACAGUGGCAAUACUAUUGAACUUUGCAGUUGUAUUGAUAUAUACUGUAGGGGUGGCCAACCAAACUUCCACUACUGUGGCUCUGUCUAUUCUUCUUCUUCUACUGGUACUUUGGUUUUACCUAGAAAACUUCCUCCUGGAUAAGCAUGUCCGUUACAUCCUCACUGUGUACCCGGUGGUCAUGGUUGCAUUGUCUGGCAAUAUUGCUCAGCACUAUAAUACAACUGCUCCUAGUGGAAACAACGUCUUUGCAGUUGUCCUGAUGAUUGUGACAAAUGAGUGAGUCGCUGUUCACAGGGGCAGGAAGAAGAGGAAGGAACCUCAAAGAUGUUGAAGAUGAUCUCAGGAAAGGAAGUUACAGAACUCAGGAGAUGGAGGAAGAACACCUUGCUAUGAGGUCAUUCUGAUUGUGGAGAAGACACUAAGGAUGAUUGCCUUAAAGCCACAGGAAAAGGAAAUAUGAAUGAAUGAAAUCAAUUUAUUCAACCUUUACUAUGCAUUAACUACUAUGCUAAGCAUUGGGCAUACAAAUACAGAAGAGAGACUUAUCUUUGUCCUCAUAUAACUUUUAAGGUGAAAACAAAGCAUACAAAAGAGUAGUGGCCAGGGAAGAAUGUUUUAGCCUAAGAAAUUGAAGAAAUGACAUACAAAGCCAUAGAGAGGAAUCAAAUGACAUACUCUUUAAAAAUCAAUUUUAUUUUUCAAUAAACAGGCUCUUUUCUAUUUCCCCA
rnacentral:lncRNA from 1 species